ACCAACCAAUUAAUUUGUUUAUCUGAAUGUGUUCCUGCAGAAAUUUAGAAACAACUGAAGGUAGUGAUGUCAUUUUAUGAGCCUUAAGGAAAACUGAGGUCAUUACAGUCCCUCAAAAUGGCUAUAAUG
rnacentral:snoRNA from 1 species